AAAAACAUGUAUAUAAGACCCUCACAUGUAAAUACUGCUAUGGUGCACAUUUCCUUUAUUAUAAUAAAAAUAAAAUAAAAAGAUACAAAAUAAAACAGUCUGUAUAUAUAUAUAAAAACAACCUAUAAAUGAAAGAAAACCUCCUACAUAGUGUGCUGUACAUAGUUAUCUACAUACAACCAGAAAAAAAUCUUUCAAAAUUUACCCCAAAUACUCUAAUAAUAUAUAUAUUAGAGGUGUUCCUAUUUAAAGGAAGCUAAUACAGAGAAGAAGAAGAUA
rnacentral:lncRNA from 1 species